rnacentral:tRNA from 1 species
GGAGGUGUCAGGGCACCUGGUGGGCUCCACCGCCUUCAAAGCGGCUGUCGCAGGCGACCCCUGCGAGGCGGGUUCGAUUCCCGUCCACCUCCGC